AUUGAACGCUGGCGGCAGGCUUAACACAUGCAAGUCGAGCGGAGAUGAGGUGCUUGCACCUUAUCUUAGCGGCGGACGGGUGAGUAAUGCUUAGGAAUCUGCCUAUUAGUGCGGGACAACAUUCCGAAAGGAAUGCUAAUACCGCAUACGCCCUACGGGGGAAAGCAGGGGAUCUUCGGACCUUGCGCUAAUAGAUGAGCCUAAGUCGGAUUAGCUAGUUGGUGGGGUAAAGGCCUACCAAGGCGACGAUCUGUAGCGGGUCUGAGAGGAUGAUCCGCCACACUGGGACUGAAACACGGCCCAGACUCCUACGGGAGGCAGCAGUGGGGAAUAUUGGACAAUGGGGGGAACCCUGAUCCAGCCAUGCCGCGUGUGUGAAGAAGGCCUUAUGGUUGUAAAGCACUUUAAGCGAGGAGGAGGCUACUGAGACUAAUACUCUUGGAUAGUGGACGUUACUCGCAGAAUAAGCACCGGCUAACUCUGUGCCAGCAGCCGCAGUAAGAC
rnacentral:rRNA from 1 species